UACGUAGGGGGCGAGCGUUGUCCGGAGUUACUGGGCGUAAAGCGCACGCAGGCGGUGUGCCAAGUUUGCAGUGACAGUUCCCGGCUUAACUGGGGAAGGACUGUGAAAACUGGUACACUUGAGGGUUUCAGAGGGACAUGGAAUUCCGGGUGGAGUGGUGAAAUGCGUAGAGAUCCGGAGGAACACCAAUGGCGAAGGCAGUGUCCUGGGAAGCUCCUGACGCUCAGGUGCGAAAGCCAGGGGAGCGAACGGG
rnacentral:rRNA from 1 species